rnacentral:rRNA from 1 species
AUACGGAGGGUGCAAGCGUUACUCGGAAUCACUGGGCGUAAAGCGCGCGCAGGCGGCUAUUUAAGUUGGAUGUGAAAGCCUACGGCUCAACCGUAGAACUGCAUCCAAAACUAUUUAGCUAGAGUGUGGGAGAGGAAGAUGGAAUUAGUUGUGUAAGGGUAAAAUCCGUAGAGAUAACUAGGAAUACCGAAAGCGAAGGCGAUCUUCUGGAACAGUACUGACGCUGAGGCGCGAAAGCGUGGGGAGCAAACAGGAUUAGAAACCCUAGUAGUCC